UUGAGCUAUUGGAUUGGGCUUAAGACAUUGGUUUACUAAAUCUAGAUACAAGAAGAUUGUAUCAUGGGUUCGAAUCCUGUGAAUACUU
rnacentral:tRNA from 1 species